GGGGCACGUUAUGAGCAGAGCAUUCAAGAGGGCUGCCGCAAAGCCCCAGCAGUGAAUCCCUGUAUUACUUCUGUAAAUGCAAAAGCAAACAAGAAGCUGGCUCCCAGCCCUUCGGCAAGAAAAGCACCCGUAAAGUUUCCUUCUUACCAUGCAGGACACAUCUCAGCACCAGGAGACUAAGGCAGAGAACGUGCAGCCGCUGCAUUGUGUCGCUGAGUCAGGCAGAGAAGGGGCUGCAGACGGUGGUGCUCCAGGCAGGAGAGAGGGAAACAAGGUCCAGAGGAAACCACUCUCCUGCAGGACACGACUACACACCACAGUUUUGGAGAUCACCGCCCUUCUAGCACCUGUGUAGCCCUGUAUCUGCAGAGCUGCAGUGUGCACGCUCCCAUGUGUUGUCAGCAGUGCAGCACGGAGGGACCAACCCUGUGCACGUGUCCCCAGAUCCACAUGUUGGAGAAACAAGAAGAUUGUUGGAGAAUUGUUGGAAAUGUUGGAAGUUGGAGAAACAAGACUCUUCCUUCCCUCCCUCCCCUGCCAUCCACCCUGAUUAGGCUUGUCCUGGUGCCCAUAUGAUGUCAAGGUGAGUGCUGCAAAGGGAGGGGACAGAUGCCACUGCUUGCCCCUAGAAUAAGUCAAUUACCCCAGGAGAGCUCUGAGAAACUGCACAGAGCCCCGCUGCAUUCCUUGCCUGGUCCCAGCUCUGGCUGCUCCUGGAAAGUCCCUUUCCUUGUUGUUUUCAAGCCACUGUAGUAGCAUCCUCUGUCCAGCCCCAAACACGGUCUGAGCUGCUGAGCAAAGUCAGGGCAUGUGCUUCCUUUGCAGGCAUCACUUUUAGCAAUUUUCUGGUCACUGAUAUUUGCAUCACAAAGAAAGCAGCUGUCUGAGUGGACCCUCACUCCAUUCCUCCCAGGAAAGUUGUUCUGGAGGGGCACAAGCUCAGGGCAGGGGUACCCAGCAGCAUGCUCUGGCUGUGGGCACAGGCAAGGCAAUGUGCAGAGCCACAUGUAACCUGGGCAGGGGAUCUAUGCCCACUUCCACUCCUGCUUCCCUUUCCAAAAGCCCCCGUUCACCUUAAGUGCUCUGCUCUGUCCUCUGUCCCCCAAGCCCAGGAUGAAAGCAAGGCAUUUCUGGCAGGGAGAUAUGGAAGAGCAUCCCUGUCUGCAUAGGGUCAUGAGAGAGGUCUAAAUUUUGGGAGGCAGAGGAAAGGCUUUUUAGGGCUCUCCAACACCAGCAGAUUCCAGGAACAGUACUGCCCUGUUCUGGCCAGGUGCAGUUUCUUGCUAGUACCUUCAUUAACCGACUGCUCACCAACUUGGGCUCCUGCAGCCAACAGAGCUCAGGAACAGGGGCAGAGAUAGGUACAGAGAGAAGAAUACAACCAGACAGGGUGCCUUUCUGCAGUGCUGGAAAAUAUCCUCUGAUGCUGCAGCACCAGAGGUUUGGGCAGCUCCAGCCCUCCAUGUAUCCCAGACUGCAGGAAGAGCUGAGAGAUUCCUGUGCAAUGAUCCACAGGACCCAUAGGCAGAAACAGUCAGGGACCACAGCCCUCUUGUUUGUGAGACUUUUCCAAGCACUGAAAACACCCCAGCAGCUUGCAGGACUUGCUCAGAUCUUCAUCUCAAAUGCCCUGUAUGUUUGCACCCAUCACCCCAGUGCCAGAGCCUGGGGUUUGCUUAUGAACUGCUUCCCCAGCUUGCUACACUGCUCUUUAGCAUCUCACUCCCCAUGUCAGGAGAGCCCCCAGAGCUCCUCUGCUACCCCAACUCUGCUCCGAGCACCCUAUGCAUGACCAGACAGUGGACUCUGCUCCUCAGCUCACUCAGGACUGGCCACAGAGGCUCCUCGGUUGCAUGCAUGGGCUGAGGGCAUCCAGGAGACCCAAGCUGGGGGGUGGGAAUUUCCAAAUCCUUUUGGAUGCUGCGUCCAAAUUAUAGUCACUGCUAACAGGAACAGGGUCGCUCAGCUUCACUCAACCCGCUGACCAGCAAAUUCCUUCCCGCAGAGCCCCCGAUUCCCAGGAGAAAGCCACUGAGGCACCUCGCUGAGCCCAGCCUGGAAAGCCCCCGCCACUGGGAAGGGGAGUGGGCUGCCUGCCAGCCCACACCGUAUAGAAACGUGCUCCAUGGCAUCCUUAGGAAGUGGGAAAAGAAUUGCUGGAAGCCAGCGGCACACGCGCCGGCUGCCUCCCUGUCCUCAGCGUGCAGCAGGGCUGAUGGGAAGAGCAGGGUGAGCACAGCGUGCUGGGAAGCGCAACCCGAGACUCUCCUCCCCAUAAACGGGUACUGGAGCUGCAGGGCUUUGGUGUCUUUGGGCAGAGAGAGAGUUGUGCCCCGUGUACUGCAGGCCCUCCGAUCCCAAAGAAAGGCAUCUUCCCAGCUGAGAGUCAUGCUAGGAGUUAACCCCUUGCUCACUCAAACAUCCGUGGAGGUGUUAAGCAGCAGUGGAAGCAGAUAAAAAAAAAGUGCAGAAAAAUGUGCAUGGGGUGAAAUGGUACUGAUAGCAGUGAGAGGGACCUGAGUGAAUGAGCAGCAUGGCAAGAUGUUCUCUUCUCUAUCCUCUGCAUGGUGUGCAGCAAUGCCCCCCCAUCCAAAAGCAAGGGGCUGGGCUGGCUCUGCCUUUUGUUACCCCCUCCAACCAGGAAAAAUUGGGAUGCUGCUCUCACCCUCUUGGCCAUGCACAGCCCAAUACAUGGGAUCUGCUGGGCUCAGGCUGGUGUGAGCUUGUACAUUUGUCACCAUGGCACCAGCACACUCAGCUUGUGCUGGAAGGGAUGAUGCUGGUCCCCCUGUGGCACAGUGGAGACAUCCUUGGAGUGGCAAGGUUUGUGUUGGAGAGGGGACACAGUGAGAUACUCCUACUCCUGGUGAGAAAGAAGUGAGUGCUGCAUGGAAGAGUGGGGCAAUUGGUGUUUUCAUAACCCUCCAAAAUGAGUGACCCUCUCACUUGGUCCUCAGCCCUGUCACCAAGCAUUGGUUCAGCUCCUCUCCCAUCAAGCAGCAUGGCAAGGCUUGAUUCAGUUCCUGCAGUUUCCCUUGCUGCAGUGUAAAACGUAGUGGAAAUUGCUGGUACCGGUCCAGUUGUUGUGGAAAACGGAGAGGUAACAAGUCAUAAAUCCCCCCGGCAAUGGACCAGGCACAUGACAGCCGAGCCAGGCAGUCAGAAAGGUUUGGGUUGAGCUGUGAGCAAGGACACGCAGAGGCACUGUCCCAGUGCAGCCUGCAUAGUGCUUGAAUUCAAAGAGAUUUAGGGAAACUGCUGGGAAAAGAAACAGCUGAGUGGUGUCAGAAAGGAAACGACUCCUUCUCCAUUUCACGGCUCUAUGCUGAGGGAUGUGGGAUGUUGAGUUUGAAAGCAGGCAGAGCCGUGCUGCAGACACCUAGCAUCUGCCAAGCAGCCCUGCACUGCCCCUGGCAUGAAUUUAGCCCCAAAGGGCUUGGCCAGAGAGAAGGUAUCCACUGCCUAUAGCUGCUGGCACAUGCAGCUAGCUUGGCAGGAUGGGG